CUUUUGACAUGAUUUGUUCCUGACAAAUCCAUGCUGACUGUUACUUAGCAUCUUAUUAUCUUUUAGAUGUUUGCGAACUUAUUGUUUAAUUAUCUGCUACAUUAUCUUUCUGGGUACAGAAGUUAAGAUCCCUGGUCUGUAAUUCCCCAGGUUGUCCUUAUUCCCCUUUUUAUAGAUUGGCAUCAUGUUUGCGCUCUCACAGU